rnacentral:rRNA from 1 species
CGUAGGGUGCAAGCGUUAAUCGGAAUUACUGGGCGUAAAGCGUACGCAGGCGGCUUUGCAAGACAGGUGUGAAAUCCCCGGGCCUAACCUGGGAACUGCAUUUGUGACUGCAUGGCUAGAGUUUGUCAGAGGGGGGUGGAAUUCCACGUGUAGCAGUGAAAUGCGUAGAUAUGUGGAGGAACACCGAUGGCGAAGGCAGCCCCCUGGGAUGUGACUGACGCUCAUGUACGAAAGCGUGGGGAGCAAACAGG